UACGAAGGGGGCUAGCGUUGCUCGGAAUCACUGGGCGUAAAGGGCGCGUAGGCGGCCAUUCAAGUCAGAGGUGAAAGCCCAAGGCUCAACCUUGGAACUGCCUUUGAGACUGCAUCGCUUGAAUCCAGGAGAGGUGAGUGGAACUGCGAGUGUAGAGGUGAAAUUCGUAGAUAUUCGCAAGAACACCAGUGGCGAAGGCGGCUCACUGGCCCGAUACUGACGCUGAGGCACGAAAGCGUGGGGAGCAAACAGGG
rnacentral:rRNA from 1 species